rnacentral:rRNA from 1 species
GAUGAACGCUGGCGGCGUGCCUAAUACAUGCAAGUCGAGCGAAUGGAUUAAGAGCUUGCUCUUAUGAAGUUAGCGGCGGACGGGUGAGUAACACGUGGGUAACCUGCCCAUAAGACUGGGAUAACUCCGGGAAACCGGGGCUAAUACCGGAUAACAUUUUGAACCGCAUGGUUCGAAAUUGAAAGGCGGCUUCGGCUGUCACUUAUGGAUGGACCCGCGUCGCAUUAGCUAGUUGGUGAGGUAACGGCUCACCAAGGCAACGAUGCGUAGCCGACCUAAGAGGGUGAUCGGCCACACUGGGACUGAGACACGGCCCAGACUCCCACGGGAGGCAGCAGUAGGGAAUCUUCCGCAGUGGACGAAAGUCUGACGGAGCAACGCCGCGUGAGUGAUGAAGGCUUUCAGGUCGUAAAACUCUGUUGUUAGGGAAGAGCAAGUGCUAGUUGAAUAAGCUGGCACCUUGACGGUACCUAACCAGAAAGCCACGGCUAACUACGUGCCAGCAGCCGCGGUAA